GAGUGGCGGUACGGGUGAGUAAUGUCUGGGAAACUGCCUGAUGGAGGGGGAUAACUACUGGAAACGGUAGCUAAUACCGCAUAACGUCUUCGGACNAAAGUGGGGGACCUUCGGGCCUCAUGCCAUCAGAUGUGCCCAGAUGGGAUUAGCUAGUAGGUGGGGUAAAGGCUCACCUAGGCGACGAUCCCUAGCUGGUCUGAGAGGAUGACCAGCCACACUGGAACUGAGACACGGUCCAGACUCCUACGGGAGGCAGCAGUGGGGAAUAUUGCACAAUGGGCGCAAGCCUGAUGCAGCCAUGCCGCGUGUAUGAAGAAGGCCUUCGGGUUGUAAAGUACUUUCAGCGAGGAGGAAGGGAUUGUGGUUAAUAACCGCAGUCAUUGACGUUACUCGCAGAAGAAGCACCGGCUAACUCCGUGCCAGCAGCCGCGGUAAUACGGAGGGUGCAAGCGUUAAUCGGAAUUACUGGGCGUAAAGCGCACGCAGGCGGUUUGUUAAGUCAGAUGUGAAAUCCCCGGGCUCAACCUGGGAACUGCAUUUGAAACUGGCAGGCUUGAGUCUCGUAGAGGGGGGUAGAAUUCCAGGUGUAGCGGUGAAAUGCGUA
rnacentral:rRNA from 1 species